AUGGUUUCUUGGUUGAUCUGAGCUUUUCCUCUAUGUCUUUUUGGUACAAAGGCAACAGACAUUUUGAGUUACAUUGAAUGAUAGACGUUACCGCCUGGGAUUUUCGGCCGUCACGAUAUAUGGAACGCCGUUUGGGUCUUAAAGCACGUGGUCAAAACCAACAAUCGCAGCAGUACUGUAAUGGAUUGCUUCAUGAAUGCUGUCUCCAACGGACCAUGGAGGAGAAAACAACACUGUCUGCUUGUUGAAUACUACUUCUACAAACGAGGCUACACUUGUGGCAGCACCUAUUCCUGUGCCCCCACAUCUUCUGCACCACUUCUUGUGGCCCCCUCCACCUAUACCACUUCCUGUGGCCUCCCCUCCACCAUUCCCUGAGGCUUAUCGUCCACCUUCACCACACUCUUUUGUUGAUGUUGGUGAUGACAAUGAGACGCUGACGGAAAAGGGGCAGCUGAUGAGGGUGGUCCAUCGAGAAUCUCUCCGGCUGCUAAUGAGUGCCAUCCAUUCCUCUGGAGUCUUUGAGGGACCUGAUUGGCAAAAAUGCCUUUCUUGCAACUCUCAAGCACUCUAUGAUGGCGUAUACAAACAGGUGGGCCCCAUGACUGCUGUCUGUCUGGUACAUGGGGGUGUAGAGACACAUUUUUUCAGAGAGGCUAUACAGGCAAGUGUGUGGCCUACAACCUCCUGUGCCAGAACUGAAAGAAAUUGCGGAAUAUGACUUCAGAGAGAAGUUGGAGAAGGUAAGUAACUUUAUACUGUGAUGGAUGUUGUUACUGUUAAUUAGCACUAAGUUUGAAAAAAAAUUGGCUUGUAGUUCAUGAAUACUUUUCCACAUGGAUUUGGUUUCCUUUUGUUGGCAGUCAAUCUUUUUUAAGGGUAGUGAUAAUCAGUUUAUUGUUUUGCUAAUUUGUCCCAAAACACAGUUCAAUAAACAAUUUAAGAUCCAGUAUGCACAAACCAUUGAUGAGGCACUGGAAGCGGUCAUGUUGGGUCCAGUGUGAUUCAUUCGUACAUUGAAGAGGGAUGUCCUGGUGGAGUCAGCCACAAAGUUUUACGGGAUGCUCUUGAGUAGUGAGUUUCCAUAUAUCUAAGGAAUCUCAAGUUUAGUUAAAUUCUUCAGGGCAAAUUCAUUGACUUUUUUUACUUUAUAGAUUCAAAAAGGGUCUGGAGUAUCUAGGUUUCCUGCCUUACAUGAAUAGACACUCAAGCUUCUUCAGAGAGGUUUUCAUCUAAGCUGAGAAAUCUCUUUUGGCCAAAGACAUAGCUUCUCUCUUCAAAGCAGAGCGCUCCCCACCUGGUACCAAUCAAAGAGCGAUCGAGAGAAGAGUCAUGUUUCUGGAGGGACUGGCUUCUGGAGGUGGAAGGUUAGAUGCAAAACCAUGAUCAUUGAAGUAAUACGGCCCACAUCAGUAAAACAUCACCUAAUUACUCUCACAACUGUGGGACAGCAUUUUAUAGCCUUAUUCUUCCAUGGGCCCCCUAAGAAUGUAAUAGAUAAAUUAAAUCCCAAACUACUUUUACUUAAGAGUAUUGUUCUCCAACAAGUGUUACUUAUGGACUUUA
rnacentral:lncRNA from 1 species